rnacentral:rRNA from 1 species
CAACUCGCCUACAUGAAGUCGGAAUUGCUAGUAAUCGCGGAUCAGCAUGCCGCGGUGAAUACGUUCCCGGGCCUUGUACACACCGCCCGUCACACCAUGGGAGUCGGUAACACCCGAAGCCUGUAGUCUAACCGCAAGGAGGACGCAGUCGAAGGUGGGAUUGAUGACUGGGGUGAAGUCGUAACAAGGUAAC